AGCUGCAUCGGUUUGAUCGGGAGACUCAUCAAUUACAAUCAGAAAACCGAGAACGCUUCGUUAUCCAAUGGCGGGCUGCGCCAAUCCUUCGUGGAGAGGUAACUUCUUAACGGGAGCCGGCAGAUUACAAAGGGUACGGGCACUCAAAUCAUAUUUACUCGGAGUUCUUAUCACAUCACCGAUGCAGCUACUU
rnacentral:sRNA from 1 species